rnacentral:rRNA from 1 species
GAUGAACGCUGGCGGCGUGCCUAAUACAUGCAAGUCGAACGCUGGAAAUCUAGCUUGCUAGAUUGAAGGAGUGGCGAACGGGUGAGUAAUACAUAAGCAACCUACCCACGAAGACUGGGAUAAUCUCUGGAAACGGGGACUAAUACCGGAUAGGUAAUCGGAAGGCAUCUUCCGAUUAUUAAAGGUUAAAAACACUGGUGGAUGGGCUUAUGGCGCAUUAGUUAGUUGGUGAGGUAACGGCCCACCAAGACGAUGAUGCGUAGCCGGCCUGAGAGGGUGAACGGCCACAUUGGGACUGAGACACGGCCCAGACUCCUACGGGAGGCAGCAGUAGGGAAUGUUCGGCAAUGGGGGAAACCCUGACCGAGCAACGCCGCGUGAGUGAUGACGGCCUUCGGGUUGUAAAGCUCUGUUGUAAGGGAAGAACGGUAGAUAGAGAAUAUCUAAAUGACGGUACCUUACCAGAAAGCCACGGCUAACUACGUG